rnacentral:rRNA from 1 species
GACAGAGGUGCCGAGCGUUAGGCGGAAUCACUGGGCUUAAAGCGUGUGUAGGCGGGCCGUUAAGUAUCUUGUGAAAUCCCCCGGCUCAACCGGGGAAUGGCUGGAUAUACUGGCGGUCUUGAGCGAUCUAGGGGCAGAUGGAACAAGUGGUGGAGCGGUGAAAUGCGUAGAUAUCGGAAGGAACAUCAGUGGCGAAAGCGGCUUCCUGGUCCAGCACCGACGUUCAGGCACGAAAGCGUGGGGAGCAAACAGG